UAAUACGGAGGGUGCAAGCGUUAUCCGGAUUUACUGGGUUUAAAGGGUGUGUAGGCGGGCUUUUAAGUCAGUGGUGAAAUCUCCGGGCUCAACCUGGAAACUGCCAUUGAUACUAUUAGUCUUGAAUUUUGUUGAGGUAGGCGGAAUAAGUCAUGUAGCGGUGAAAUGCAUAGAUAUGACUUAGAACACCAAUUGCGAAGGCAGCUUGCUAAACAAAUAUUGACGCUGAGGCACGAAAGCGUGGGGAUCAAACAGGAUUAGAUACCCUGGUAGUCCACGCCCUAAACGAUGAUUACUCGACAUACGCGAUACACAGUGUGUGUCUGAGCGAAAGCAUUAAGUAAUCCACCUGGGAAGUACGACCGCAAGGUUG
rnacentral:rRNA from 1 species